rnacentral:rRNA from 1 species
AGGCAGCAGUGGGGAAUAUUGCACAAUGGGGGAAACCCUGAUGCAGCGACGCCGCGUGAAGGAAGAAGUAUCUCGGUAUGUAAACUUCUAUCAGCAGGGAAGAUAGUGACGGUACCUGACUAAGAAGCCCCGGCUAACUACGUGCC